UCUUGUUUGAUUCGUCUCAAUGAGUACUUUAUUAAUAUUCAAUUAUUAUAAUUUUUAUUAAUAUGUAGUGAAAGAUAUUUAAUAAUAAUAAUUUUUAAAUAUAAGCAUGAUAUGAUCUGAACUGAUCUGAUCUGAUCUGGCUGAUCUGAUCUGAUCUGAUCUGAUCUGAUCUGAUCUGAACUUAUUUUUUCUGAUCUGAUCUGAUCUGAACUUAUUUUUUCUGAUCUGAUCUGAUCUGAUCUGAUCUGAUCUGAUUAGAUCUGAAAUAAGCAAAAAUAAGGUGAACUGAACAUAGCCCUAGAAGGGGACUUAAGGGUACAGUUGUACCCCCAAAUUAAAAAAAAAAAUCAGUUAAAAAAACUUUAAAAAAUAAAAAAAUUCAUGCAAGGCAAGCAGGCACGCGUUUCAUUUUUUCUCUCAGACUCCUCUCUCUUCAGUCUCGUUUCUCUCUCCUCUCUCUCACACCUGAUACCAGCGAUUCAGCGAAGUACGAACGACCAAUACCGAGAAUCGACUUUCGACGAAACCAGUGAGGGGCGCCUACGCUUGAGAUUCGACUUCGCCAAAUCGCCAGACGCCGGUUCGACUUCUUCGGCUUCUCGAAUCGUGACCCAUACAUCAAUCCGAAGCUUGAUGAAGAUAUCAUUGCUCGAUUUCAAAUUAUGAAGGCUCGUAGGAUGCAAUUGUAAUUUUAGUUUGAAGUUCAAUCUUAUGCAUUUUUUUAACAAAAUUGGUUGUAUGACUAUGGAUAUUUUAGUUGUAAGACUUAUGUAUUGAAUAAUUUUAAUGAAACUUUUUUCUACUA